rnacentral:misc_RNA from 1 species
GAUGAAGAACGCAGCGAAAUGCGAUAAGUAAUGUGAAUUGCAGAAUUCAGUGAAUCAUCGAAUCUUUGAACGCACAUUGCGCCAGCCAGUAUUCUGGCGGGCAUGCCUGUCUGAGCGUCAUUUCAACCCUCAUGCCCCUAGGGCGUGGUGUUGGGGAUCGGCCAAAGCCCGCGAGGGACGGCCGGCCCCUAAAUCUAGUGGCGGACCCGUCGUGGCCUCCUCUGCGAAGUAGUGAUAUUCCGCAUCGGAGAGCGACGAGCCCCUGCCGUUAAACCCCCAACUUUCCAAGGUUGACCUCAGAUCAGGUAGGAAUACCCGCUGAACUUAAGCAUAUCAAUAAGCGGAGGA